rnacentral:lncRNA from 1 species
CAAGAACAUGUCUGCUUCCAUUCUUUGAGGAGCUGUGGAAGAUGUCAGGCUCUUUUCAGAUUUCAGCUUUUCAAGAACUCUCUUAAGUGGAUUCACUAAAACUCCCAAGACCAGUCACAUUGUGGGGUUCUUCUAGACUGUGUGAGAAUUCCUGAGAUCCUUCAAACCCUUGGGGGUUUCCUGGGGGUGUCUGAACGUAUACUGUGUGAGGAUGGACUAGCGCCCAACGAGGCUACCAAUUUCCUGAAUUCACUCCACUCAGCAGCAGCGCGCUCUCUCCAGCUGCUUCCUGAGAGGGAAGAAGGCAUGGGAAAGGAGGUGCUGGGACUACAGGUGAACAGUGACAUGCCCAGCGGUUCAAGAUGGUCACAUCAAAUUAGGAAGGACCAGAGUCAGAGGUUGGUACCUGGGAGGCUUUCAAAAGGAAGGCCUGGGAAUAGCACUUAACAUUUUUUUUUUUUACAGUCCACUAGCUAAUACUAAUACCAUGGACAUUUUAACUGCAAAGGAAGCUGGGAACUGUAGUUCAGUUGCUUGACCAUGGUGAGGAGGAGAGGGCUGUUUAGCAAUCAGCCAGCUGUCUUGAUAACAGCCAGUCCCUUUAGUCAGCACGUAUUCAUUCCUGUCUGCAUGCUGUAGAGAUAGUCACAGCCCUCAAGCAGGCAUGGUGCCUAGCUCAAUCUUCAGCAUUUCUGUGUGCAGUGUUCUGCUUAUGACUCUGCAUGGCUUGGUGACCUAUGACCUAAAGACAGGUUAUCCAGAUGCUGUCAUUCCCUGUAACCUUUGCUGUUAUUUCCUUGUAGUUGAGCUUCUCUUUGCCCAACCCUUCUCUUGUUUGCCUGGCAGAUGUUGGUCCC